AUGAGUACUCACGGUUGCUUUCCUACUUCCUUUUCCCCUUUUCCCGGUUAUUGCGAUCAUAUGAUGGAAUCCAGGAGCCAGAGGAUCCCGAGGAUGAUUCUACGUGGAGUUCGACUUCGAGGAGUAGUUAGGAGGUCCCAAGCAGGAGGCCUUGCCUUUUCGAUCGUUGCUACUUUUGUGCUAGCCUUCUUAAGGCAAACUUGUUUAACUUAUGUCUGUACUCAGAUAUUGUUGCUUCCGCUGACUCUUGUGUUUUCGAGCUUAUGUAUUCGAGCCCUCGAGGCCCCUGGCUUGUAA
rnacentral:rRNA from 1 species